rnacentral:rRNA from 1 species
CCUACGGGAGGCAGCAGUGGGGAAUAUUGCGCAAUGGGCGAAAGCCUGACGCAGCGACGCCGCGUGAGGGAUGAAGGUCUUCGGAUCGUAAACCUCUGUCAGCAGGGAAGAACGGUCACUGUGCUAAUCAGCCGUGAAUUGACGGUACCUGCACAGGAAGCACCGGCUAACUCCGUGCCAGCAGCCGCGGUAAUACGGAGGGUGCGAGCGUUAACCGGAAUUACUGGGCGUAAAGCGCGCGUAGGCGGUAUGUCAAGUCAAGGGUGAAAUCCCCGGGCUCAACGUGGGAACUGCCUUUGAAACUGGCAAACUGGAGUGUGGGAGAGGAGAGUGGAAUUCCAGGUGUAGGAGUGAAAUCCGUAGAUAUCUGGAGGAACAUCAGUGGCGAAGGCGACUAUCUGGCACAUAACUGACGCUGAGGAGCGAAAGCGUGGGUAGCAAACAGGAUUAGAUACCCCUGUAGUC